rnacentral:lncRNA from 1 species
GAUGUGGAUAAUAACACGUACCUCGUUAAUUAAAUGAGCAAUUACACACAAAAAACUUAAAAAGUUGCAGAGAAUGUGGGAAGGCCUCCAUCAAUUAUCAUUUUUCUCCAUGGAGCUCCAUUGAGAGACAUAAUGCACUGUAAAGUGCUUGGCUUUGGAGAAAGACAGAGCUGGGUUCCAAGUCCUGCCUCUGCCGUUGCCCUGCUGCAUAACUUUGGGCAAGAUGCUUAGCUUCUCAAUGCCCAAUUUUCUCAUCAACAAAAUGGAGCCACUGAUAUUUACAGCAUUAUCCCAAGGCAUAGAAAUGAUGCAUCCGAAGACCCUGACCCAUGGGUCAGAGGUUUGGGGAGAGCCCAUCUUGCCGUUGCUAUCAUCCAUCCACAAAAAUCCAACACAGUGUCCUUUGCCCCAUCUGGACCUUGGACAUCCAUCAAGCUCAGGCGCUGGGAAAAUAGGUUUGGAGUUUGAUGAGCUGCCUGCUGCUGGCUCCUCUGUUUUCUGGCAUCAAGGUUCCUCAAUAGUGGACUCAACAGUUGCAUUUUUCACCUACAAAAGAAUUGCUAUCAGAAAACCAGACAGCGGAUAAUUGUAUUUUGUGAAUUGACAGUGAAGCCACUCGGUUUCAGCCCAGGUCCAAAGGCUGAGGAUGUUCACCCAGGAGAAAUGGUUUGUGCGAGAGAAUUCAUUUCUGAGUACUCAUUUUUACUGGAGGAAACAGGGUUGCUUGGAUUUUUUUUUUUUUUUUAUUCUUCUUCAACAUGUAGGCAGAAGGUUCAGAAUCCCUAACAGCUCUGGCGACCCCUGCUGUGUCAGUGUGAAUGCAAGAUGCCCAGUAAGACUGGAGGCUCCAGCUUCAACCAGAGCCUCAUCCAUCUCUUCAAACCUACCAGGGAAGGAAAUAAAAAUAUGUGCCCAUAAAUUUCCUCCUUGACGGG